AUCAUAAAAGAAAAUCCUGAAAAUGAGCAGACAGGGGCUUUAACGUUUCAGCACCCUCAGCUUAAACACUGUACCUGUGUGAGAAUCUCUGACUGGUCCUGAAUAGAAACUGAAGCUGUUUCUCCUCGUCUCUCUGAAAGGCUCCGAAGUGUGGAGACGACACGUACUCGGCUCUGAACCCCAACGCCAGGUCCUCCGACUACGACACUCUGACUCAGGUUAGAGACUCUGCCAGCGACACGUACUCAGCUCUGAACUCCACCACCAGGUCCUCCGACUACGACACUCUCACAGUUGUCCGUCCUCACCCAGCGAUGAGAAGAGCUCCAGAGAACGAGAACUAACAGCUGUUCAUUUACUCUUCAUUCACCACUGCAGCUUCAGCUCUAUGGACAGAACAUUAAAGAGGCGUACGGAGGAUUUCUGAGGAUUAAAGAGCUUCUAGAGCUCAAAACACAUCAGAUGAUCUCCUAAAGUCAGAGAGAUUCUCUCAGAUCAGUCAGAGGAGCUUCUGUUUAUGAAGGGUCUUUAUUCACUGUAGUGCUGUUAUACACCAUGAUGAUCCAAACACGGACCAGAACCAGGCGGUUCUGAUCGCUCAGUGUGAACAGAGUUGAGAUGAUUUGGAUCCAGUUUGAGUUAAAAUGUCACUGUGUAAAUCAGAUUUAUUAAUGUAGAGUUUGUAUAUUUUCAGUUUCUUCUCUGUAGUUUUCCUCUUGUUCUCAUUGUUUAGGUUAGUAGAUCCUCUUAAACUCUUUUCUAGCUGUGCUGUCGUUGUUCUGAAUGUGCUGCUAAAACACCGAUAAUAAAGUUUGGAAGCAGCUUCUGUUUCCUGUUUAAUGAA